UUAUGGUUAAUUUUAGGAAGGUAAGGAGAAAAAUUUUACAUUAGAAAAAAACUAUUAAUGUAAUUUCAUAUACUAACAAGUUAAAGAAGGAAUACUUAGGAACAUUUCAAGAGAUGCACAAAAAACAUCUUAUUUACUAUUUAAGUUAGUAGAAAACUAGAAAGAAAAAGAAACUUCCUUAAUGGAAUAGAAAAGUAUUUAUCUUUUUACUUGGAAAAACUUGAAAAGCAUUCUCUUUAAGAUCCGGAACAAUACAAGAUACAUACUAUCGUAAUGUUCUACAUAACACUGAAAGUUCAGGACAUGUAAUAAGACAGGAAAGAAUGCUAAGAAAUAUAAUGAUUGGGUGAAAAGAGAUGAAAUCAUUGCAAUUGCAAGCAUUGUGAUCAUUUAUAAGAAGACUAAAAACAACAGACUUUUAGAAAUAAUAAGAAAGUUCAAUAUUAUAAUACUAACAUACAAAAAUCAAUAGCAUCCCUCAAUAUCAGCAAUAAUAAAAUCAAGAAGAUCAUAGGCAAUAAAAUACCAAAACAAAAACAACAAACCUGCAAAAUAUCAAGGACUUAAGAGACAAACAUUCACAAGAUCAUUACAAAAGAAAACUUAAAACUCUGUAGCAAAGGGCAUAAAGAAAGAGCUGAAUUAAUAGCGAGGUAAAUCAUCCGCAGUAUUUAAAGAUAACAAUUUUUCCCUGAUUUAAUGCAGUUUCAAGCAAAGUCACUGCCACUAUUGGGGAGAUCCUGCUCUGCUCAUAUUUGGAAUGAACCUUCCACUGAGUGAGUCUGGGUUGAAGGCAGGACCCCCUCUGUGGAAGUCAUAGAAGGACCAGACACCCCUUCUGGCUCUUCGGAAGUUAGCACAUGAGUAUGUGAUCCGAGCUCAGACAUGAAAUUCUCCUUCUCAGGGCUCUGACUCCUGAGCGAUGCAGUGAUGUGGGGAGGGUUCAGAGGACUUUUCACUGUGGCCGCCUCCAUGUUGGUGUCCCAACAGCUGCUCCCUCCUGUCUGUCUGUCCUGCUGCCACCUGCUCUUCCUUGGUUAGUGCCCAGAUUUUGAGCUUGUUUCUCUGGGCUUUUCUCCCAAGAGCUCUGGUGAAUUCUGAUGCCUUUCUUCUUCAGUAGAUUCAUUUCUGCAUUAAAUUAGAUAGACCAGUUUCUGAUGCUUGUAAUCAAGAACUUGGAGCUGGGAACAUUGCCACGAUAUUGCUGAACUUCGAGGGGAAGAAUUCCAGUCUGUCCAAGAAUGGGACAAGCGAGACCGAGUAGAUCCUUACCGUUAUCUUGCUGGAGAGGCAAUAAAAAAGACCGGAAACACGCAACCAUGGCUUCAAACCCAAGUGUCGUCACAUAGAAGCUGUGAGAGUUCCCUCUUCUUUGGAAUGGAUGAAUACUACCCUCAUCUGAGGGUUGCUGGGAUUUCUGGAAUGUAAGCAGGUAAGGUGGACUGAGACGGUUACACGCUCUUUGUUGUGCCCUCCCAUUGAAAAGCGGAGUUUGUUUUCCCUUGCUUUGAAUCCGGGCCGCCCGGCAUGAUGGAACGUGGCAGAAGUGGUGCCUCUGCGUCCUGCUUCUCGGACACUGUAGGUCUGGGCAUCGGCCACUGGAGUGUAAAGAGGCCACCUGGAGAGAGAGAGAGGUACCAGCUCUCCAGCCAUCUGUGCCAAGGCACCAGACAUGUGAAGGAAGCAAUCUUGGACACUGCAGCCCAGCCACUGACUGAUGAGAUCAAGGCCAGCAGAUCCAUCGAGUCCAUCCACAGAAUUAUGAGUGAUAAUGCAUAACUGUAGUAGUUUCAAAAUAUUAGGGCUUAUUUGCUAGGUAGCCACAGACAACCAAGAGUCUAUUAAGCAACUACCAAGCACCAGAGUGCUUGGAAUAUGCAAUAUCCCAAAUCAUUGUACCAAGCUUUCACAUUGUAGCAGUUAUGCCAGUGAGCCCAGCAUAUGGGGGCUAUCCUUCAGGAAAAAGUCAGUUUCCAUUUAAUGCUUUUCCAGACCACUAAUUUAUAUAUCAGUUAAUUAAUUCCUCCUUUCAACAAAUGUUAAAUGGAUGUCUACUCUAUGUCAAAUGCCCUUUUCUUGUCUGAAAGUAAUUAAAAUGAUACCCUUUAA